AUCUGGGUUGCAUACGAAACUAGCCCGUGUGGAGCGCGCGCGCGCCGACGCCGGCCGCGGCCCUGUUUAAUUGAUGCCGUUUGAUAGAAACAAGCUGCAUGUAGGAUUCAGUCAGCAGCACAGGUCGAAUCGAACGGCACGGAUGCGCGUGAGGGAGGAAACGCGUCGGCGCGGUUUCAGCGAGCUCCGUGUGCAACGCUGGCGCUAAUGUUUGCGCGGACGAUCGGAGCAAACAUGAGAAGUCACAUCGAUCGUGAGUGCGUCUGCUGUGAUGAUUUAGACUUGAACCUUUUUGCUGCAUGUUAUAACACUGUACUUUCUAUUGGAAGUGGAACUCGCAGUGAAUGCUUGUUUCACUAGCGGCUGCUUCUCCUUUUUAAGGUUUAGGGUGAACUUACUUAACAAAAUGCAGAAGCAGGUACAGCAGGGGCCCGUGGUGCAGGUUUACAUCAGUCCGGUUGCAGGGCCGCGUUCUCGCAUUAGAACCACAUCUGGCAGAGUGCUCGGGGAUUCUGUGUCGCCUGUGGAUUUAAUUAGUUUCCAGCGUCUCGUUAAUCAGCCGCUGCGUUUUGAACCCCGAUCAAUAAGGCAGCGGGCCGACGGAGGAGGGCCCCGUCGCACCCGGGCGUCGCACGUGUUUGCUGUCGGCCUCGACAAAAUGCGUCUUGUCAGCAACGCUUCUCUCGCUGUGACCGACCAACAAAUGACGGCUCCGGGCACCUGUGCAGCCAUGUCCGAAUCUCUCCGGAGCUCUCAAGCGGGCGGAUAACAAUCAAGCGGUGGGCGUGGGAGCGCUGGCGUGUUGGCGUGCGGCCGGACUGCGGGUGGAAGCAGACCCGCGGCGCCGUCCUGCAUAUUUCAGCAGGUGUGGAGCAGAACCUGUGCAUCGGCGCCGCGGCGAUCAUCGUCCCGCUUCUAAAUGAGCCAGGCUCAUUUGCUCGCGGCGCUUCUCAUCAUCAUUUAGGUCCUUUCACGGCUCCCCUCUGGACUGUGCUCAGCAUGACUUACAAUUGCCUCGGUGGCCUGACACAAUGGGUUGGAGGCAGCUUAUGAAUAAUCAGGAGCCAACAACGCCUUAUGGGGCUGGAGAUGGAGCAGAAAGGCUUGAUUAGUGGGCGGCUGUGUAAUCAUGUCCAAUAUUUGAGCCGUACACCUGAGUGCGUGAGAGAAACGGGCCGUGGGGAAUUUGACCAUUAUUAGUCCUAUUUACCAUAGAACGUUUCCCUAAUCCCACUCACACCAACAAUCCUUGUAACGAAUUUAUGGCCAUCGAUGCAUUUUAUCUCAUUAACACUCCCUUUAAUGGUAUGUUUAGAUUCCCACCCUCUUCCCCAUGCUGCUGCUAUGUUAGACUAUACACAAAUUACUGUAUGUCUUUAAACCGUCGCAUUCCUGUCCUCUUGCUUUUCUUGCAUUCCUUUCGCCUAUGCAUUUGUUAAUGUAAUAAUCUAACUUUCUUCCCAAUUGCUAAUUAUUAUUAUUGGACUCGUGACAUUUGGACGCCACUGCUUGUGACGGAGGAUUUUAUUACUUCAUAAGUGAGACCUGCAUCGGCUGCAGGGUGAACAUUUGUCAGAAAUCAAUGCGCUGUGUUAGCUGUUAAAUUGAGCGAUAAUUAUAACCAUCCACACAUCAAGCUAACACUGAGAAUAAUACAACACCGACAGGAGCUGGUUCAUAAUUUGCAAACAACUCUCUGAAAAGUUUCCACUGGCGCAGAUCAGAGAUUCAGUAUCUGAACUCAUCUGCACAGCCUGGAUGUACAGUACAGGUUCUGUAACGAGCCGGCUGCACAUUUUGGGCCAACAAAUGAUAAAUAAUGAAGCUUUUGUCCUUCAGGGCUUGAAGCAGAAUGUAUUCCUUUCCAUAUGUUCUUCGUCAGUGUCAGCUGAAGCUGUGGCCGCCUUUGCUCUGGGGGUGAGCGGACGCAUCUAGUCCGAGGAGCUCCAUCAGUGGGGCCACUGUAAGCGCUGGCCUGUGUCGACCAGACGCUGGGGGGACCGGACACUAAAAAAUCACUGCGAGGAGGAACCGGCGAGAGCCGCUUUUUAAAGUCUGUGAAAUACGUGACAGAGAGCAGCACUCAGACCAAACGCAGCCUGAAAAGUGCAGAGCGAAAGCGCAGCGCAGGAGUCACAGCCUGCAAAUUCCGUCUUUCAGUUCUCUGACCUUCUAUUUUUUAAAUGUAUCACGAUUAAUGUCAUUUCUGUACCAACUAAUAGGCAUUAAACCAAAAUUAGUCCGGCCUUGUCAAGUUUAAUGUGGUAUUUCUUGAGUCACAUCUAUAUUACUCAUCCUCACUUCCCAGGAAAAAGCAGCAGGUCUGGAACACGGAGCUGAAUUAUGGCCAUUUUGUUGAGGAGGGUGGUGCUGUUCAUGUUCUAUGCAUCUCCAAUCACUGGCCUGGAUUAAUGUUGCAUUGAAACAACUGACAGUUACUGGGUUUUAUAUGUUAUAUUAUAAAAAUUAUCAUUUGUUUGUGGACUUCAUCUGCGCAAAUAAGACAUAAACGAGACAAAUUCCUAUAAUGUGUGUUAAUGUGUCACAUUCCCGUGGCUCAAGUUAAGACGUCAACUAAAUGAGACUUCAGAGAAAACAGUAAUUAUGCUGCAGGUAGAAAAGGUUGACAGUUCAAACCAUGUUCUGUAGAAGGCCAUUAUUAUCCACCUGCCAAUCGAAAGACAGCAAAGAUAGUAAGUGGAGCAGUUACAGUGCCUUGAAAACACACUGGAACCCCUGCACUUGUUUUUGCUGCUUGUUUUUAAGACGCGUCGUAACUUUAGAUGUUUCACUUUUACGACUGCUGGAAGUUAAUUGGCUUUGAAAAAUUGACAUUUCACAAACAACUUUUCAUCCAUCAACCAGGAUGACGACGUCUCAAGCGCAGCCGUCAGCACCAAUCCAGACUAAACAGUGGACCCGAAUACUUACAGUAGAACUGAAAUCAGCAUUUCAACACUGAUGAAACAAGGAGAUCAUGUGAACAUGAUGUAUGAAUGCCGCCAGCGCCCCGGGACCAAAACUCAUCUACUGUAAUCAGGUCUGUGGCAAAGGAAACAGUUCUGUGGUCAGUCAAAUCAAUAUCACUAUAUUGUUUAUGUGUAAACCAUGUGCGCUGCUUCCUCUUGACUGAGGAGCCUUCAGUCUGUUUUCACAGCUUGGCUUCUAUGUGUUGCUGCAAUCAGUUUCAAAAUGAUCUUAUAUUUACAUUAAAGAAGGUUUAUUAAAAAUGUAAGUGUUUUACACGUCCCAUUAAACUCACUCACUCACUCACUCACUCACUCACUCACUCACUCACUCACUCACUCACUCACUCACUCACUCACUCACUCACAUUAUACGAAAGGGUGAAGUAUAACAAUCGCACAAUCUCUUUACAGGAAUAUUACACGCACGGCCGUUCAGAUUCAGACUUCCCUUUUCUCUAAUUGGACUCUUUGUAUCUGAAUGGUGGAUGUACUGGCACCACACAUGAGAAAGAUGAA